UUCGAAUCUAGCCACCCACCAAUUUAUAUGGCUGGACUCCUUUGAUUGGACUGGUGCAGACCACCUAUGACUAAGCGGGCACAACCCACAUUUUCCUUCCAGUCCCAGACAAGGCCACCAGCCAGGAUUUGCACCUCAAGAGAUAGCCUUUCCAAAUUCAGAGUCGCAAUAAAAUCAGUUCGAAUCAAGUAGAAUCUGCCCCAUUUCAAGUCUCGGGUUCUUUCUCCAGGUUUACACUGGUGGAAAAAAAAAAUGUUUUUACUGCAUUUAUAGUAUUACAUACACGAAGGAAAAGCAAUACUCCGAGACGUAUUUCUAUCUUAAGCAUUUAGUAACACAACUUGUAGUACAAUGCAUCAAAUUGAAAUACAAGGGAAUCAAGCACAAAAGACUGAACAAAGAACAAACUAACGGCAUGCUUGGUACACUAUAUUGGACGGACAGAAAAGGACAAUAGAGAUUUCAUCCUUUUUCCCAUUUUUCCAAUUCUAUCCAAUGAAAACUAACAAGCAUGCCUUAAAAGUUUCAGCAUGGCUCCUUGGAAGAACUCCUUGAUGAUAGAUCGUAUCUACCAGUAUGCUGAAUUAUACAAACAGAUAUAAAGCUACUUCGAUGAUGAGGGCGCAGAAUUUGGGUGAACCUUCUUGAACACAAUGGGUAAGCAACCAGCAAAAGUAGAUUUUUUCCCUUCAACAGCUUUUUUCUUACUUCUCUUGUUCGAAUCGCUUAUUUUCCCUUCAGAAGCUGCUUUUUCUUUGGUUCUCUUGUUUUCUAGUUCUCUCGUCAUCUUCUCCUUAUGAAGCUUUCUCAUCAAAUAAACUUCAGCAAUAUCCACACUAAGAGUCAUGGCUUAAUCAAAGGUCACCAAAAAUAAGCAGAAGCAAAAAAAUAAAACGUGGAAUUGUAGAAGCUGGUGGAUUUAGAUCGUAAUAAGAAUUGACUAUAUGAUAAUUUAGUAGUGUAAGGGAGUAUAUAUGGUGAUCGCGAACUUGGGCUGCACGCAAAUCUUGAACACUAGUGUGAAUAUUCUGGGAAAAGUAAAAUGAUUAAGAAAUUUUGUCGUCG
rnacentral:lncRNA from 1 species